AUCCCAUCAGAACUCCGAAGUUAAGCGUGCUUGGGCGAGAGUAGUACUAGGAUGGGUGACCUCCUGGGAAGUCCUCGUGUUGCAUCC
rnacentral:rRNA from 1 species